UAUGUUACUUUGUUUUCUUUAAAAAUUGUUUCAGUCUCUUUUAUUAGGGAAGAAAUACUAAAUGCAUGAGGAGUUGGAAAAGGAAAAAAAAUAAUUGGAGUUUGUGCCUUUAGUAAUAUUAAUAUGGUGACAUUCAUGCAUAUACAGCAUAUAAAAUUAUUUUCUGAUUGCCUUCUCUUUAGGACACAAUGCAUGAAAUCUUUUAAUCAUGUUAGAAACUAGACCAGACACUAGAGAUAUGAUUGCAAAUGCUUUUUUCCCUCCACCCUUAGUAUUAAGAGUAAACAGUUGGGAGACCUUGCGCUUGCAAGCCUGUGCCAUUUAUGGUGAUUUGCAUUUACAUUAAUUCAUAGUUGAUGUUCCUAUGGUACUUUUCCACUAUUUCAAUGAGGAGAUUAUGAAGAAUGAUAUAAAUGCUGCUAUUGUCAUUUUUUGUAAAGAAAGUUCUUCAUUUUAGGAAGGCCUUGAAAAACAAGGAAGAUAACCCCUUUAGAGCACUUUUACAAAGUGAAUAUAAACCUCCAUUUCACAUCAAAACUGCAGGUAUGCUCUAAUAUUUAAAUUUUUAUCCUUUGCUUUCAUACAAUCUACUGUUUAUCUCCAUCUGUUUGGUGUUUCAAGUGCUUAUUUUAAUGAUUGCAGUUUUUAUUUUUUGGAUGUUCACUUGGCUCCUUGUCAUAUUUACCUAUAUUUGAUUCUCAUGUGCCACGAUCCCUUAUCUGCGUUAUAGAUUUGGGAUUUUAUUUUAUAGAUGCGCUUUCUACUCUACAUAUUUGAGAAUUUAAAAUUAUAAUUUUAAGGCACUUACAGAUUCCUGUGUUAUUUCGUUUUCUGUACCAUAAAAUCCUCCAUCUUUCAGGUUUAUUGAAAAACUUUUAGUUAUUCGUUUCUUGAUACACUUUGAUCGGGUUUUGAGAGCUUAUUGUCUCUUUAGGGAGCUUUUAUUUUCUCUCAUCUCCUUUUUCUGUUUUGUGAGUCCAUGACUGUCUCAUACAGAGACUUUCAGAUUCCAGAGACAGUAUUAGGUUAGCUCAGACUUUCACUCCGAGAUGCUGUUGUACUAUAAUCCCAUCAACCCGCAUAAGCAACAAUCCACUUUCUAGUUCCCAGUUAAUGUCCUACACCAUGAAAACCCUGUCAGUAGUUGCUAGUUCUUCUGUAUUCAUUGAUGAGCAGGUGAGCAGGAUUCUAGUUACUGGCUUCACAUAGAAAAGUUGGGUCUAGGGACACCCGGGUGGCUCAGUGGUUGAGUGUCUGCCAAUGGCUCAGGACGUGACCCCGGAGUCCCUGGAUGGAGUCCUGUAUUGAACUCCCUGCAUAGAGCCUCUUCUCUUCCCUAUGCCUGUGUCUCCGCCUCUCUCUCUGUGUCUCUCAUGAAUAAAUAAAAUCUUAAAAACAAAACAAGAAAAGUUGGUUCUAGGUCUUCAUUUCAAUCAUGAGGUGUAAUUAGUUUCAUUUUUCACAUACGCAUAAGCUCUAUGCUGCUUGCUUUUGGGCUCUGAAUCCUUCUGUCACAGUCUUACUCCGUAAGUCGCGGCUUCACUCUGUGGGUUUCUUAUUCUAUUUCUGUUUGAGAUGUUUUUCUUUGUGUUAGAAAGUGGAUAUGUGUUAUUUAUUUUUUAAAGUUUAUUAUUUGAAUAUAGUUAUAUGCAUUAAUAUGUGUUAGGUGCACAACAUAGUGAUUCAACAGUUCUCUAUGCUGGGCAAUGCUCAGCACGAUAAGUAUAGUUACCAUCUGUCAGCACAGAAUAUUACAUUAUUAUUAACUAUAUUCAUUGUCCUGUACUUUCCAUCUCUGUGACUUAUUUAUUUUAUAAUAAGAAGUUUGUGCCUUUUAAUCUCCUUUACCUAUUUCGUCCAUUCUCCAAUCUCCCUGUCCUCAGGCACCCACCACUCUGUUUUCUAUAUUUAUGGGUCUACUUACGUUCUGUUGCUUUGUGUGUGUGUUUUUUUUAAUUACACAAUAAGUGAAAUAAUAUAGUAUUUGUCUUUCUCUGUUUCACAUUUUCUUUAUCCGUUCAUCUAUUGAUGGACCCUUAAGUUACUUCCGUAUCUCAGCUAUUGUAAAUAAUGCUGCAGUGAACAUAGGGGUGCAGAUAUGUUUUCUAAUUACUGUUUUCCUUUUCUUUGAGUAAAUAUCCACUAAUAGAAUUAGUAGAUCAUAUGAUAAUUCUGUUUUUAAUUUUUUGAGGAAACUCCAUACUGUUUUCCACAAUAGCAGCAUUGAUUUACAUUCCCAGCAACCGUACACAAAGGUUUUCUUUUCUCCCCAUCCUUGCCAACACUUGUUAUUCCUUGUCUUUUUGAUAGUAGCCAUCCUGACUGGUGUGAGGUGAUAACUUACCGUGAUUUUGAUGUGCAUGU
rnacentral:lncRNA from 1 species